rfam:Dipodomys ordii contig_43065, whole genome shotgun sequence.
GGUGGCUCAGUGGCAGAGUGCUUGCCUAGCAUGCAUGAGGCCCUGGGUUCAAUUCCUCAGCACCA